GAUGAACGCUGGCGGCGUGCCUAAUACAUGCAAGUCGAGCGAACGGACGAGAAGCUUGCUUUUCUGAUGUUAGCGGCGCACGGGUGAGUAACACGUGUAUAACCUACCUAUAAUAGUGGGAACACUUCGGGACACCGGAGCUAAUACCGGAUAAUAUUUUGAACCGCAUGGUUCAAAAGUGAAAGACGGCUUUGCUGUCACUUAUAGAUGGAUCUGCGCUGCAUUAGCUGGUAGUGAAGGUAAUGGCUUACCACGGCAAGUAUGCAUAGCCGACCUGAGAGGCGGAUCGGCCACAUUGGAACUGAGACACGGUCAUGGCUCCUACGGGAGGCAGCAGUAGGCAAUCUGCCGCAAUGGUCGAAAGCCUGACGGAGCAACGGCGCGUCAGUUAUGAAGGUCCCCGGAUCGUAAAACUCUGUUACUAGGGAAGAACAUAUGUGUAAGUAACUGUGCACAUCUUGACGGUACCUAAUCAGAAAGCCACGGCUAACUACGUG
rnacentral:rRNA from 1 species